rnacentral:rRNA from 1 species
GAUGAACGCUGGCGGCGUGCUUAAUACAUGCAAGUCGAGCGAACAGACGAGGAGCUUGCUCCUCUGACGUUAGCGGCGGACGGGUGAGUAACACGUGGAUAACCUACCUAUAAGACUGGGAUAACUUCGGGAAACCGGAGCUAAUACCGGAUAAUAUAUUGAACCGCAUGGUUCAAUAGUGAAAGACGGUUUUGCUGUCACUUAUAGAUGUAUCCGCGCCGCAUUAGCUAGUUGGUAAGGUAACGGCUUACCAAGGCAACGAUGCGUAGCCGACCUGAGAGGGGGAUCGGCCACACUGGAACUGAGACACGGUCCAGACUCCUACGGGAGGCAGCAGUAGGGAAUCUUCCGCAAUGGGCGAAAGCCUGACGGAGCAACGCCGCGUGAGUGAUGAAGGUCUUCGGAUCGUAAAACUCUGUUAUUAGGGAAGAACAAAUGUGUAAGUAACUAUGCACGUCUUGACGGUACCUAAUCAGAAAGCCACGGCUAACUACGUG